rnacentral:sRNA from 1 species
GUCAACUACCCCUGCCUAAAUGGGAGGGGCAUGUAGUUACGUACAAGCCUGGUUGACCAGGAUAAGUUACGGAGCAGUGGCGAUGCAAAGAAGUAACUACGUAAGCGAUAGGUUAUACAAGACCCACUCCGGGAUGCUUCCUCUGUCUAGGAUCCUGGA